rnacentral:rRNA from 1 species
GUAGGAGGCAAGCGUUAUCCGGAUUCACUGGGCGUAAAGCGCGUGCAGGCGGUUCGGUAAGUUGGGCGUGAAAUCUCCUGGCUUAACUGGGAGAGGCCGUCCAAUACUACCGGACUAGAGAGCAGUAGAGGAAGAUGGAAUUCCCGGUGUAGUGGUGAAAUGCGUAGAUAUCGGGAGGAACACCAGUGGCGAAGGCGAUCUUCUGGACUGUUUCUGACGCUCAGACGCGAAAGCUAGGGUAGUAAACGGGAUUAGAGACCCCGGUAAUCCUAGCCGUAAACGAUGUGAACUUGGCGUCGGUAGCUUAAACACUAUCGGUGCCGCAGCCAACGCGAUAAGUUCACCGCCUGGGGACUACGAUUGCAAGAUUAAA